rnacentral:rRNA from 1 species
ACAGUCACACAUUAGACUACCCGCGUAGUCCUGGCCGUAAACGAUGUGGACUUGGUGUUGGAAUGGCUCCGAGCUGCUCCAGUGCCGGAAGGGAAGCUGUUAAGUCCACCGCCGUGGGAAAGUACGGGUCGCAAAGACUGAAACGUUAAAGGAAUUGGCGGGGGAGCACCACAACGCGUGGGAGCCUGCGGUUUAAUUGGAUUCAACGCCGGACAUCUCACCAGGGGGCGACAGCAGAAUGAUGGCCAGGUUGAUGACCUUGCUUGACAAGCUG